AACGAACGCUGGCGGCAGGCCUAACACAUGCAAGUCGAGCGAAGCCUUCGGGCUUAGCGGCGGACGGGUGAGUAACGCGUGGGAACGUGCCCUUUGGUAAGGAAUAGCCCCGGGAAACUGGGAGUAAUACCGUAUGUGGUCGAGAGGCGAAAGAUUUAUCGCCAAAGGAUCGGCCCGCGUUGGAUUAGGUAGGUGGUGGGGUAAUGGCAUACCAAGCCGACGAUCCAUAGCUGGUUUGAGGGGAUGAGCAGCCACACUGGGACUGAGACACGGCCCAGACUCCUACGGGAGGCAGCAGUGGGGAAUCUUAGACAAUGGGGGAAACCCUGAUCUAGCCAUGCCGCGUGAUCGAUGAAGGCCUUAGGGUUGUAAAGAUCUUUCAGUGGGGAAGAUAAUGACUGUACCCACAGAAGAAGCCCCGGCUAACUCCGUGCCAGCAGCCGCAGUAAAAC
rnacentral:rRNA from 1 species